UCUUGCCUUGGCGAUGGUCCAGGUCUGCUGUCGCAAAGGCCUCAUGAAGGUUUUAACCAAGAACCUAGAAGUCUCAGUCUUUGGGUUUGAGGACGAUUGGAGCAGGCCCUGCUACAGAAAGAGUUUCAGUCUGAGGGCAGAACUAGAACAAAGUUCUUGUGUGGUCCUGCAGACUUUGGAGGCUUAGAGAACUAUCCAUGGCUUCCAGACA
rnacentral:lncRNA from 1 species